GCCUUGCCGGCUUUGGGCCCAGAGGCUGGAGGCUGGGCUCCCUCUUUCUUCCCUUCCUCCUUUCCUCUUUCCCUCCUUCCUUUCUUCCUUGCUUCUCCCUCCUCCCCUCCCUGCCUCCCUCCUCCCAUCUCUGUCUCCCUCUUCCCCUCCCUGCUUCCCUCCUCCCCACCUUCCCUCCCUCUUCCCCUCCUUCCCUCCCUCUUCCCCUCCUUCCCUCCCUCUUCCCCUCCUUCCCUCCCUCUUCCCCUCCUUCCCUCCCUCCUCAAGCACAACACAUCCACAUCGGCCCCCAGCCCAGCGCAGCUUUAAGAGACCCACUUACCUCAGAGGAACCCAAUCAAUCCCCACAAACACCUCUCUAGAAUAGGAAGAUGGAGAUACAGAGACAGUCCCACUCUAUCGCCAGGGUAGAGUGCAGUGGUGCAAUCAUGGCCCUCUGCAGCCUCCAACUCCUGGGCUCAAGCUAUUGUCCUAUCACAGCCUCUCAAGUAGCUUGGACUGCAGGAAUCUUCUUUCGAUACUA
rnacentral:lncRNA from 1 species